rnacentral:ncRNA from 1 species
UGCGCAGCGCGUGCUUCAUAACGAUGUUGCCAAAGGAAACACCCUUGAGACGCGCGGUACGGAUGUAUUGUGCGGUCAUCACCUCGGUCAUCGAAGCGCGGGUCAUCCGGGCGAUAUAGCCCAUCCCGUAAAGCGCAAUGGUCAGAACCGGCAGAAAGAAGUUCUCAAAGGUCGGAUUG